rnacentral:rRNA from 1 species
GCAUAUCAAUAAGCGGAGGAAAAGAAACUAACAAGGAUUCCCUUAGUAACGGCGAGUGAAGAGGGAAGAGCUCAAAUUUUAAAUCUAUCAUGUUUGUACAUGAUCGAAUUGUAAUUUGAAGAAGCGUUUUCUCGUACUUUAUGCAAUCAGUAUAAGUUCUCUUGGAACAGGACAUCAUAGAGGGUGAUAAUCCCGUCUGUUACUGGUUGUGAGGUUCGUUAUGAUACGCUUUCAAAGAGUCGAGUUGUUUGGGAUUGCAGCCCCAAAUGGGUGGUAAACAUCACCUAAGGCUAAAUAUUUGCGAGAGACCGAUAGCGAACAAGUACCGUGAGGGAAAGAUGAAAAGAACUUUGAAAAGAGAGUUAAAAAGUAUGUGAAAUUGUUGAAAGGGAAACGAUUGAAGUCAGUCGUGCAGUCAUCAAUUCAGCGGUUAACAUUUUUAUGUUUCCGUGUAAUUUGGUGUCUGUUGGUUAGCAUCAAUUUUGAUUGUUAUAAAAAGGUUAAGGGGAUGUGGCUCCUUCGGGAGUGUUAUAACCCUUAGCGUAAUGUGACGAUUAGGAUUGAGGUUUGCAACGAAUACCUUUUAGGGCAGUUUCCCUGGCCUCUCGUGGAAUUAUAGAUAGUUAAGAGCAUGCUUCUUACUGUCUAUGAUUCUACGAAAAGGUUAGUGUAAAACUAAUUCGUUAAGGAUGUUGACGUA